CCAUGCAUAGCUUCAGUGGAAGAGCAGCAUCCGCAUAGGAUGUGUGUCGGCGGUUCGAUUCCGUCUGCAUGGGUUA
rnacentral:tRNA from 1 species